rnacentral:rRNA from 1 species
UGUGAGGCAUGCUGGAGGUAUCAGAAGUGCGAAUGCUGACAUAAGUAACGAUAAAGCGGGUGAAAAGCCCGCUCGCCGGAAGACCAAGGGUUCCUGUCCAACGUUAAUCGGGGCAGGGUGAGUCGACCCCUAAGGCGAGGCCGAAAGGCGUAGUCGAUGGGAAACAGGUUAAUAUUCCUGUACUUGGUGUUACUGCGAAGGGGGGACGGAGAAGGCUAUGUUGGCCGGGCGACGGUUGUCCCGGUUUAAGCGUGUAGGCUGGUUUUCCAGGCAAAUCCGGAAAUCAAGGCUGAGGCGUGAUGACGAGGCACUACGGUGCUGAAGCGACAAAUGCCCUGCUUCCAGGAAAAGCCUCUAAGCAUCAGGUAACAUCAAAUCGUACCCCAAACCGACACAGGUGGUCAGGUAGAGAAUACCAAGGCGCUUGAGAGAACUCGGGUGAAGGAACUAGGCAAAAUGGUGCCGUAACUUCGGGAGAAGGCACGCUGAUAUGUAGGUGAAGCGACUUGCUCGUGGAGCUGAAAUCAGUCGAAGAUACCAGCUGGCUGCAACUGUUUAUUAAAAACACAGCACUGUGCAAACACGAAAGUGGACGUAUACGGUGUGACGCCUGCCCGGUGCCGGAAGGUUAAUUGAUGGGGUUAGCGCAAGCGAAGCUCUUGAUCGAAGCCCCGGUAAACGGCGGCCGUAACUAUAACGGUCCUAAGGUAGCGAAAUUCCUUGUCGGGUAAGUUCCGACCUGCACGAAUGGCGUAAUGAUGGCCAGGCUGUCUCCACCCGAGACUCAGUGAAAUUGAACUCGCUGUGAAGAUGCAGUGUACCCGCGGCAAGACGGAAAGACCCCGUGAACCUUUACUAUAGCUUGACACUGAACAUUGAGCCUUGAUGUGUAGGAUAGGUGGGAGGCUUUGAAGUGUGGACGCCAGUCUGCAUGGAGCCGGCCUUGAAAUACCACCCUUUAAUGUUUGAUGUUCUAACGUAGGCCCCUUAUCGGGGUUGCGGACAGUGUCUGGUGGGUAGUUUGACUGGGGCGGUCUCCUCCUAAAGAGUAACGGAGGAGCACGAAGGUUGGCUAAUCCUGGUCGGACAUCAGGAGGUUAGUGCAAUGGCAUAAGCCAGCUUGACUGCGAGCGUGACGGCGCGAGCAGGUGCGAAAGCAGGUCAUAGUGAUCCGGUGGUUCUGAAUGGAAGGGCCAUCGCUCAACGGAUAAAAGGUACUCCGGGGAUAACAGGCUGAUACCGCCCAAGAGUUCAUAUCGACGGCAGUGUUUGGCACCUCGAUGUCGGCUCAUCACAUCCUGGGGCUGAAGUAGGUCCCCAGGGUAUGGCUGUUCGCCAUUUAAAGUGGUACGCGAGCUGGGUUUAGAACGUCGUGAGACAGUUCGGUCCCUAUCUGCCGUGGGCGCUGGAGAACUGAGGGGGGCUGCUCCUAGUACGAGAGGACCGGAGUGGACGCAUCACUGGUGUUCGGGUUGUCAUGCCAAUGGCACUGCCCGGUAGCUAAAUGCGGAAGAGAUAAGUGCUGAAAGCAUCUAAGCACGAAACUUGCCCCGAGAUGAGUUCUCCCUGACCCUUUAAGGGUCCUGAAGGAACGUUGAAGACGACGACGUUGAUAGGCCGGGUGUGUAAGCGCAGCGAUGCGUUGAGCUAACCGGUACUAAUGAACCGUGAGGCUUAACCUU